rnacentral:lncRNA from 1 species
GGCGAGUCCUCUGAUCCCUCCUGGCCGCCGCUGUCUCCAGCACCCUCUGCGGCUGGAUCCUGGUCUGGGCACGUGGCCUAGCGGGAGCCACGCUUCCCCUCUUCUCGGCGACCUCACUCUCAUCGGCGAUGUGGGCCACCGCAAGUCGCCUGACCUCAGCAAAUGUGGCAGGGUGAGCCCUGAUCAAUGCCUCGCAGAAUGGUCCCG